GACAGAGGGGCCGAGCGUUAGGCGGAAUCACUGGGCGUAAAGCGUGUGUAGGCGGACUCGUAAGUGCUUUGUGAAAUCCCACGGCUCACCCGUGGAACUGCUUGGCAUACUGCGAGCCUUGAGCCACUUAGGGGCAACCGGAACAAACGGUGGAGCGGUGAAAUGCGUAGAUAUCGUUUGGAACGCCAAUGGUGAAGACAGGUUGCUGGGAGUGCGCUGACGCUGAGACACGAAAGCCAGGGGAGCGAACGGG
rnacentral:rRNA from 1 species